rnacentral:lncRNA from 1 species
GAAUGAUCGCUUCCUAAUCUUUUCUAGUCAUUUCGGCCUUGCACCUUAUGCAUAGCCUGUAAUGCACCGAAUUUUAAUAUAAAAGUAAGUAUAAAUAAAAAUAGUGUGAGAUACUAUUUUUAUUGGACUUAAAGAAGUAAAAUAUAAGUCGGAAACGACUUGUGCUGAAAUCGGAACGGAAACAGAAGAUUUAAAAUUUUGUGUAAGGAACGGGGCUGAUAUUUUAGUAGAAAAUUCACAGUAUCAGAAAAUUAUGAAAAUCUCGAAAUAUGUCGGGAUUAUUUUUAUGAGUCUAGAUUUUAAGUUUUAUGUCAUUCCGACACUCGAAAAGUGAAAAAAAAAAUCCGACUCCUAUCUGCUAGAGAUUUCAGUUCGGUAGAGCUUUCGGGGACCAAAAAUAGUCGGAAUUGAAAGAUUAAAAUUUUUGUAUUCUUAUUAAGUUAAACCGAGCCUGAAUGUCAAAUUUAAGCUCAAACAGACAUUCAGAAGGGCUCCGACGAAAAGUAUCAGAUUCUGAAAGCUAAACUGCUGGUUGUAAUAGUGUUUUGAGG